GAAAGAAAUAGGCAAAUUUAGAGAAAUCUAAGGACGCAAAACUAUAGGGACUAAAGUUUUUACUAUGUCAGCCAGUUGCCAAA
rnacentral:ncRNA from 1 species